rnacentral:rRNA from 1 species
CGGACGGGUGAGUAACGCGUGGAAAACCUGCCGUAUACUGGGGGAUAACACUUAGAAAUAGGUGCUAAUACCGCAUAGGCGCACAGCUUCGCAUGAAGCGGUGUGAAAAACUCUGGUGGUAUACGAUGGUUCCGCGUCUGAUUAGCUAGUUGGUGGGGUAAUGGCCUACCAAGGCAACGAUCAGUAGCCGGCCUGAGAGGGUGAACGGCCACAUUGGGACUGAGACACGGCCCAAACUCCUACGGGAGGCAGCAG